rnacentral:lncRNA from 1 species
UUUUGUUCUGCUCAGAUAAGAUCUAUUAAGAGAUGAAUAGAUAAAGAAAUUGUGGUAUUUGUAUACAAUGGAGUACUAAUCUGCCAAAAGAAAGAUAAACUUGAGACAUUCUUAGAUAGAUGGCUGCAUCUUGAGACCAUAAUCCUAAGAGAAAUAAACCAAAGAUACAAGUUUAAAUAUCACAUUGUUUUUCUUAUGUGAGAAACCCAAGUAUAAAUAUUGAGCAAAAUAGAGAAUAGAUAUUAAGAAAUUAGAAGAACUGGUUCAAAUGGAAAGUGGAACAAGGGAUGGAAGGAGGAGAGAAGGAGGGGCAAAGAAGGUUUAAAGGAAAAAAGAAUUGAAGGAAAAAGAGACAAAGAGCUUUGUAAGUGGGGAGGGGAGGACUAGAGGCAGGGAGGGCAAAGGGAUUAAAAACAGACUGAGAUCUGCUGUGUGUGUACAAACCCACGGUGAAUGUGUUUAUCACAGUCUGCAAACCUGUACGAAUAAAAAAUAAAAUCGAUCAAAGAGAAACAACUAGUGUAACAUUAAUAUCACAGAUUGCUUGCUUUGGUGCACUAGGGUCAAAGAAUAUGAAAAGCUCCUCCUGGAAACCUACUGGGAAGACAGACUGUGAGAAGGAGCUGUGAUUGGGGCUGCUCAGGACUCACUGUGACCUGGGAUGGGCCAGGCUUGGAGCCGUGUAGAGGGUGGAGGCCACAUGACAGUGUUCAUUCAUAGGCGGCUGGCCACCUUGCAACUGUGCAGAGAGGGCAGGGUGAAGAGCGUGCAGAGCCUCUGGGGCCACACUCAGGAGAUGAGACAACGGGACAACCCAGGGUUCUGCACUUUCCAGACUGCAGAUGAAGGGCGCAUGGAGAAAGCUGAUUGAUUCACAGUAAAGGAAAUGUCUGGUGUAUUUUAUUUUAAUUGAUAGCUCUAAAGACACAUUUACCUGGACAUCUUUGAAAUAAACCCAAGCCUUCUCUUUCAGUGAAACCCACUAUCUAGAGUCCUGUUCUAUUUACUUGAGUGAAACACACACAAAAAUAAUCUCUUUUCAUGGAGGAACCAGAUGGGCCACAGUUACAAAUCUGAGAGAGAGAGAGAGGAGGGAGAGAGAGAGAGAGAGAGAGAAUAUAUAUAUAGAGAGAGAAUAUCUGUGCUUCCUAAAACAAUACAGGAAGUAUCCAAGCAAGGAGUUGAAAAUCCUGACAAGAACCCUCUCAGCCCAUUAGCAUCUUGAGGAUUUAAAAAAAAAAAAAAAGAAACAUAAUAAAUACAUUGUUUUGACACAAUAAAUUUGUUUCUUGAAUGUAUAUAAAUAUUCCCAUGGUAACUCCAGUUUUAUUACAUAAGAGUUAAACAUUAUUGUUCUUAUGGCCAGUUUUUAAAAAUUAUUCUUUUGAGAUACAUCUCAAAAGCCAGUAUUUUGGGGAUGAACUUCAUGGUGUUGCUAUUUGUCACUACAUGUUGGGUAGAAAUUCAUCAUAGUUCGUGAUGUAGUAACACGGUAGCUCAUUAGUCUCCACCCACCAUGCCACGCUCAGCUCCUUCACAUAUUUGAAGCUGUUGUCACUCGCAGGGGCAAUGACUUCUGGAACGUGCUGUUAAGCUCAAACCUCCGUCAGGGCCUUGCUUUCCACAAGGUGCAUCCUUCAUUUUAUCCUGACUUUUAAAUGAAAAAAUGAAUAAAGAUGUGCUGUGUACAUGUACCAAGUCCCCACAAUGAGUAGACUCAUUUUGUACUGUAAGCAUGUAUGAAUAAAAAUUUAAAACAUUAAAAGCUCUCUGGCAGUUUCCAUCCGUCUCAAAAUCUCAUCCCUGCCACGCAAGGACAAUUCAUCCUUUUGACUGGUGCAUUAUCCACAAUUCUAUUCUUCACAAUUUUCUCAUAAUUGUUUUCCAAGAUCCUGUACAUAGACAGAUGAAAUGAGAGGGCAACCAGUGAUAAAAUAUCUCCUCUACUUCCAAUUAUUUAUUACAUUGAUCUCUUUGUUCUAGAACUUCACCAAUAAAAAUUGAUGAAAGUUUGUUGAAUGAAUCAAUUUAUCAAAGAAAAAGUGAAAAAAUACAGUGCAUAUGUCUUAUUUCCUGUGUGUGCCUUUCUGAUUUCACCAUGCUUUCUGA